UCCGGCUUAUCACCGGCAGUCCCCCUAGAGUGCCCAACUAAAUGAUGGCAACUAAGGGCGAGGGUUGCGCUCGUUGCGGGACUUAACCCAACAUCUCACGACACGAGCUGACGACAGCCAUGCAGCACCUGUCACUCAUCCAGCCGAACUGAAGGAAAUCAUCUCUGAAAUCCGCGAUGAGGAUGUCAAACCCAGGUAAGGUUCUGCGCGUUGCUUCGAAUUAAACCACAUGCUCCGCCGCUUGUGCGGGGACCCGUCAAUUCCUUUGAGUUUUAGCCUUGCGGCCGUACUCCCCAGGCGGGGCACUUAAUGCGUUAGCUUCGGCACGGCAACCGUUGAUCGGGUCGCCACACCUAGUGCCCAACGUUUACGGCGUGGACUAC
rnacentral:misc_RNA from 1 species